UACGGAGGGUGCAAGCGUUAUCCGGAUUCACUGGGUUUAAAGGGUGCGUAGGUGGGUAAGUAAGUCAGUGGUGAAAUCUCCGGGCUUAACCCGGAAACUGCCAUUGAUACUAUUUGUCUUGAAUACUGUGGAGGUCAGCGGAAUAUGUCAUGUAGCGGUGAAAUGCUUAGAUAUGACAUAGAACACCAAUUGCGAAGGCAGCUCGUUACACGAAUAUUGACUCUGAGGCACGAAAGCGUGGGGAUCAAACAGGA
rnacentral:rRNA from 1 species